rnacentral:rRNA from 1 species
UACGUAGGGUGCAAGCGUUGUCCGGAAUUAUUGGGCGUAAAGAGCUCGUAGGCGGCUUGUCGCGUCGGCUGUGAAAACCUGGGGCUCAACCCCGGGCCUGCAGCCGAUACGGGCGGGCUAGAGUUCGGCAGGGGAGACUGGAAUUCCUGGUGUAGCGGUGGAAUGCGCAGAUAUCAGGAGGAACACCGGUGGCGAAGGCGGGUCUCUGGGCCGAUACUGACACUGAGAAGCGAAAGCGUGGGGAGCGAACAGG